rnacentral:tRNA from 1 species
GAAAAAAUAGCCAAGUGGUUAACGGCGAUAGAUUGUAAAUCUAUUGGUUAUUGCCUACGUAGGUUCGAAUCCUACUUUUUUCA